UGCCUGGUGGUAUCAGGACACACAGAGGCAAAAUUCCUCUGGGACCAGACACCUCGGUUUCUAGCUGGAGCCUGAAGCUCCCUGAUCCUGGCCCGCAGCUCCCUGCUUCCAAACUCCAUGGGAGAGAAAGCUCAUUGCCCAGACAGGUGGGCACUCAUGAGAGUGCAGGGCAGGAGAGAACGUGACCUGGCUGGUGGACUCAGGACACACACCCACAGGAAGAGUUGAAGACAAGUAGACAGGAAUGAAUAAAUGCCUGAAAACAGAAAACUCUGUCCCCAUAACUGGCUGAAAGAAAACAGGAAAACAGGUCUACAGCACUCCUGACACACAGGCUUAUAGGACAGUCAAGCCACUGUCAAAAGGAGCAGAACAAGGUAACACCAGAGACAACGUGAUGGCAAGAGGCAAGCACAGGAAAACAAGCAACAGAAACCAAGACUACACAGCAUCAUCAGAGCCCAAUUCUCCCACCAAAGCAAACACAGAAUAUCAAAACAAACAAGAAAAGCAAGAUCAAGUUUUAAAAUCACAUUUGAUCAUAUGAUGGAGGACUUCAAGAAAGACAUAAAGAAACUCACUUAAAGAAAUGCAAGAAAACACAAAUAGACAAGCAGAAGCCUAUAGAGAGAAGAGGAGCAGGAGGAGUUAGGAGGAUGUUGUCCUGGAAUCCAGGAAAGGGAUUGACAAUUGAAAUGUAAAUAAGAAAUACCCAAGUUAAUAAAGAUGGAAAAAAUGUAUUGUAGAGAUCAGAACUUCAAGGCCCAUACCUAAAUAUAAAUAAAAUCAAUUCAGAGCUAACAAACCACCAAUUUCAAAUUAAAUAGAAAAAAUACUUGAAGCAAUCCCACUAAAAUCAGGGACAAAAUAAGAAUGCCCACUCUCCCAAUAUCUAGUCAAUAUAGUACUGGGAGCUGUAGUUAGAGCAAUAAGACCAUGAAAGUGGGUUAAGGGAAUGCAGAUUUUAAAAGAAUAUUUCAAAGUAUCAGUAUUUACAGAAGAUAUGAGAGUAUACAUAAGCAAUCUCCAAAAUUCUACCAGAUAACUUCUACAGCUUAUAAACAACCAUGAAAGUGACUGGAUAUAAAAUUAAAUCAAAUUAGUAGCCUUUUAUUAUACAAAUGUUAAGUGGGCUGAGAAAGAAAUUAGGGAAACAGCACCCUUCACAAUAUUCAUAAGUAAUAUAAAAUAUCUUGGGAUAACUCUAACCAAACAAGUGAAAGAGCUGUAUGACAAUAACUUUAGGUCUCUCAAGAAAGAAAACGAAAAUCUCAGAAAAUGAAGAAAUUUCCCAUGAUCAUGGAUUGACAGAAUUAACAUAGCAAAACUCAUGAUCUUAUCAUAAGUAAUGUAUGGAUUCAACACAAUCCCCAUCAAAAUCACACCCAAAUUUUUCAAAGACAUGGAAAGGCAAUUGACAAAUUCAUCUGGAAAUGCAAACAUCUCAGAAUAGUGAAAACAAGUCUUAACAAUAAGAGAACUUCUUGGGGAAUCACCAUGUCUGACCUCAAGUAAUACUACAGAGAAAUAGUGACAAGCAGCAUAAUAUUGGUACAGAGAAACCAGGUUGAUCAGUGGAAUAGAAUUAAAGAUCAAGAAAUAAAACCACACACUUAUGGACACCUAAUCUUCGACAAAGAAACCAAAAAUAUACAAUGCAUAAAAGAAAGCAUCUCCAAUGAAUGGGGAUGGUCUAACUGGCUAUCUGUAUGUGGAAAAAUGAAAAUAGACCCAUAUUUGUCACCUCAAGUCCAAAUGAAUCAAAGAACUCAAUACAAAACCAGAUACACUGAAUCUAAUAGAAGAGAAAAUUCUAAGGAGUCUCAAACACAUUGACACUGUGAGAAACUUCCUAAAAAGAACACCGAUGGCUCAGGCUCUAAGAUCACGAAUUGAUAAGUGGAGCCCCAUGAAUGAGCAAAGCUUCUGUAAGGCAAAGAACACAAUCAAUAGUAAAAUCAGCAACCUACAGAUUGGAAAAAAAAUCUUUACUAACCCCUCAUCUGAUAAAAGUCUAAUAUCUAAAAUAUAUGAAUAACUCAAGAAAGUAGCCACCAAACAAGCAAACAAUACAAUACAAUACAGUGAAAAAAUGGGGUAUAGAAUGAAACAGAGAAUUCACAACAGAGGAAUCUUGAAGGGCUGAGAAGUACUUAAAGAAAUUUUCAAAGUGCAUAGUGAUCAGGGAAAUGCAAAUUAAAGUAGCAUGAGAUUGCACCUUACACCAAUCGGAAUGGCUAAGAUCAAAAUUCAGGUGACAACACAUGCUGGAGAGAAUGUUGGAAAAGGGCAACACUCUUCCAUUGCUGGUGGGAUUACAAACCAGUACAUCCACUCUGGAAAUAAAUCUAGAUUUUCCUCAGAAAACUGGAAAUAGGUCUACCUGAAGACAUAGCCAUACCACUCUUGGACAUAUACCCAAUAGAUGCCCCACCAUGCCACAGUGGCACAUGCUCCACUCUGUUUACAGAAGCCUUAUUUGUGAGAGACAGAAGCUGGAAAUGAACCAGAUGUCCCACAAUGGAAAAAUGGAUACAGAAAAGGUGGUUCAUUUACACCAUGGUAUACUACUCAGCUAUUAAGAAUGAGGACAUCGUGAGAUUUGCAGGACAAUGGAUGGAACUAGAAAGUAUCAUCCAGAGUGAGGUAACUCAAACCCAAAAGGAUAUGCAUAGUAUAUACUCACAAAGUGGAUAUUAGCCAAAAAGUACACAACACCUAGAGUAUAACCUACAGACUGUAAGAAGUAUAUUAAGAAGAAAUGCCCAAGUGAGGAGGCUUCAAUCCCACUUAGAAAUCAGAAGGACAUAAUUGUAAGAGGUGGACGAAGGGAAUAGUCUGGGUGUCAGAAGGGAGGAGAAAUGGAAAGGGAGAGCAGGAUCAAUAUGGGGGCAGAUGAGAAGCCGAAAGGGCCAAGAUUAUGGGGUGGUAGUUACAGGGAUCCUCUAGAAAGUGAAUCACGGCUGCCGCCGCGGAGAGCUCAUAAGCAACACCCCACGAGCAAACUUGAGCCUUGGGACUGCAAGUAAGACCAACUUUUCUGCUGCAAGUGACAUGACUGGUGGCCUUGGGACACACAGAGGCAAAAUUCCUCUAGGACCGGACACUUCCGGUUUUUAGCAGGAGUCCCAAUCUCACUCUCCCUGCCUCCAGAUCUCUGCUCCCAAACCCCGUGGGAGAGAGAGCUCACCGCCAAGACAGGUGGGCAAUCCUGAGAUUGCAGAGCUGAAGAGACCAACAACACUGCCCACCCCUGCCCACAUCCAAGAGGAAACGGUAUACUGCCUCUGGGUUCCUGGAGAUAAGGGACAGGAGCAGCAGGUCCCCUGCAUCUGAGACACUGCCGGAACCUGAAGGGACUGACCAGAUAAAGAGUUCUCUGCACCCAAAUCCCGUGGGAGGGAGAGCUAAACCUUCAGAGAGGCAGACACGCCUGGGAAACUAGAAGAGACUACACUCGGCCCACAUCAAUGACUCCAGAGGAAAACACCAAACUCCAUCUGGAACCCUGGUGCACUGAAGUUCCCGGAAAGGGCGGCGCAGAUCUUCCUGGUUGCUGCCGCCACGGAGAGCUCAUAAGCAACACCCCACAAGCAAACUUGAGCCUCGGGACCACAGGUAAGACAAACCUUCCAGCUCCUAGCGAACUGCCUGGUAAACUCAAGACACAGGCCCACAGGAACAGCUGAAGACCUGUAGGUAGUAAAAACUACACGCCCGAAAGCAGAAAACUCUGUCCCCAUAACUGGCUGAAAGAAAACAGGAAAACAGGUCUACAGCACUCCUGACACACAGGCUUAUAGGACAGUCUAGCCACUGUCAGAAAUAGCAGAACAAAGUAACUCUAGAGAUAAUCUGAUGGUGAGAGGCAAGCGCAGGAACCCAAGCAACAGAAACCAAGACCACAUGGCAUCAUCGGAGCCCAAUUCCCCCACCAAAGCAAACACGGAAUAUCCAAACACAACAGAAAAGCAAGAUCUAGUUUCAAAAUCAUAUUUGCUCAUGCUGCUGGAGGACUACAAGAAAGACAUGAAGUACUCCCUUACAGAAACGCAGGAAAACAUAAAUAAACAAGUAGAGGCCUACAGAGAGGAAUCAAAAAAUUCCCGGAAAGAAUUCCAGGAAAACAUAAACAAGUAGAAGCCUAUAGAGGGGAAUCAUAAAAAUCCCUGAAAGAAUUCCAGGAAAACACAAUCAAACAGUUGAAGGAAUUAAAAAUGGAAAUAGAAGCAAUCAAGAAAGAACACAUGGAAACAACCCUGGAUAUAGAAAACCAAAGGAAGAGACAAGGAGCCGUAGAUACAAGCAUCACCAACAGAAUACAAGAGAUAGAAGAGAGAAUCUCAGGAGCAGAAGAUUCCAUAGAAAUCAUCGAAUCAACAGUCAAAGAUAAUGUAAAGCAGAAAAAGCUACUAGUCCAAAACAUACAGGAAAUCCAGGAUUCAAUGAGAAGAUCAAACCUAAGGAUAAUAGGUAUAGAAGAGAGUGAAGACUCCCAGCUCAAAGGACCAGUAAAUAUCUUCAACAAAAUCAUAGAAGAACACUUCCCUAAGCUAAAGAAAGAGAUACACAUAACCAUACAAGAAGUCUACAGAACUCCGAAUAGAUUGGACCAGAAAAGAAACACCUCCCGAAACAUAAUAGUGAAUGCACAAAAUAAAGAAAGAAUAUUAAAACCAGUAAGGAAAAAAGUUCAAGUAACAUAUAAAGGCAGACCUAUCAGAAUCACACCAGACUUUUCGCCAGAGACUAUGAAAGCCAGAAGAUCCUAAACAGAUGUCAUACAGACCCUAAGAGAACACAAAUGCCAGCCCAGGUUACUGUAUCCUGCAAAACUCUCAAUUAACAUACAUGUAGAAACCAAGAUGUUUCAUGACAAAACCAAAUUUACACAAUAUCUUUCUACGAAUCCAGCACUACAAAGGAUAAUAAAUGGUAAAGCCCAACAUAAAGAGGCAAGCUACACCCUAGAAAAAGCAAGAAACUAAUCAUCUUGACAACAAAACAAAGAGAAGAAAAGUACACAAACAUAACCUCACAUCCAAAUAUUAAUAUAACAGGAAGCAAUAAUCACUAUUCCUUAAUAUCUCUCAACAUCAAUGGCCUCAACUCCCCAAUAAAAAGACAUAGAUUAACAAACUGGAUACGCAAUGAGGACCCUGCAUUUUGCUGCCUAUAGGAAACACACCUCAGAGACAAAGACAGAAACUAUCUCAGAGUGAAAGGCAAGAAAACAACUUUCCAAGCAAAUGGUCGUAAGAAGCAAGCUGGAGUAGCCAUUCUAAUAUCGAAUAAAAUAAAUUUUCAACUAAAAUUCAUCGAAAAAGAUAAGGAAGGACACUUCAUAUUCAUCAAAGGAAAAAUCCACCAAGAUGAACUCUCAAUCCUAACUAUCUAUGCUGCAAAUACAAGGGCACCUACAUAUGUAAAAGAAACCUUACUAAAGCUCAAAACACACAUUGCACCUCACACAAUAAUAGUAGGAGAUUUCAACACCCCACUCUCAUCAAUGGACAGAUCAUGGAAACAGAAAUUAAACAGAGACAUAGACAGACUAAGAGAAGUCAUGAGCCAAAUGGACCUAACGGAUAUUUAUAGAACAUUCUAUCCUAAAGCAAAAGUAUAUACCUUCUUCUCAGCUCCUCAUGGUACUUUAUCCAAAAUUAACCAUAUAAUUGGUCAAAAAACGGGCCUCAACAGGUACACAAAGAUAGAAAUAAUCCCAUGCGUGCUAUCGGACCACCACAGCCUAAAACUGGUCUUCAAUAACAAUAAGAGAAGAACGCCCACAUAUACGUGGAAAUUGAACAAUGCUCUACUCAAUGAUAACCUGGUCAAGGAAGAAAUAAAGAAAGAAAUUAAAAACUUUUUAGAAUUUAAUGAAAAUAAAGAUACAACGUACCCAAACUUAUGGGACACAAUGAAAGCUGUGCUAAGAGGAAAACUCAUAGCGCUGAGUGCCUGCAGAAAGAAACAGGAGAGAGCAUAUGUCAGCAGCUUGACAGCACACCUAAAAGCUCUAGAACAAAAUGAAGCAAAUACACCCAGGAGGAGUAGAAGACAGAAAAUAAUCAAACUCAGAGCUGAAAUCAGCCAGGUAGAAACAAAAAGGACCAUAGAAAGAAUCAACAGAACCAAAAGUUGGUUCUCUGAGAAAAGCAACAAGAUAGAUAAACCCUUAGCCAGACUAACGAGAGGACACAGAAAGUGUUUCCAAAUUAACAAAAUAUGAAAUGAAAAGGGAGACAUAACUACAAAUUCAGUGGAAAUUCAAAAAAUCAUCAGAUCUUAAUAUAAAAGCCUAUAUUCAACAAAACUUGAAAAUCUGAAGGAAAUGGACAAUUUCUAGACAGAUACCAGGUACCGAAGUUAAAUCAGGAACAGAUAAACCCCUUAAACAACCCCAUAACUCCUAAGGAAAUAGAAGCAGUCAUUAAAUGUCUCCUACCCAAAAAGAGCCCAGGACCAGACCGGUUUAGUGCAGAAUUCUAUCAGACCUUCAUAGACGACCUCAUACCAAUAUUACCCAAACUAUUCCACAAAUUGAAGCAGAUGGAGCACUACCGAAUUCCUUCUAUGAAGCCACAAUUACUCUUAUACCUAAACCA